AAUUGUAGUGAAAGAAUUUCUUAAAAGCAACCAAAUAAGCUACCUCCACAUUUGUUGUUUGUUUUUAUGGCUGAACUACCAUAUAUCUUCUAGAUAUACCCCCUUGCACCUAAUGGUGAGCUCAUAUACAGCAGCCUCUUUGCCAUAAAAAAUGGCAUAAUAGCAAAAUUAUGACAUGGAGUCUUUUCUAAAGAAAUCUAAAAAUGUUGUCAAUACCAUACCAAUGUUCUUAUGCAAUUACUGAGGGACAAGUUGCACUACUAGAAUUUGCUUGUAAUUAAACUCAUGCUGAGCUUUUUGCUAUACUUCUUGUUUUUAGCAUGAAGGCAUAAAAGAGCAAAUUGAAACGAGCAUUUUCUUUAUGAAGAAUAGCAACUAUUUUCAUGUUUAUUUCUUGUUCCUGUUUGUUGUUAUGGUUAGAAAAUUAGUUAGUUAGAUUUUUUUUUUUUUUUUUUUCAUUCCAGAUUGCACCAGGGAUAACCAGCGUUUUCUUCUUUUCUUCCUAUGUUUUGCAGGGUACGUUCACUGACAUUCUGAAACAACUUGACAAGGCAAGCCUUUACACCAGAGCAAAUAAAUGAAGCAUGUUAUGUUGACAUUAAUUCCAACAAGGCUGUCUUUGACAGUUUGAGGAAUAACCCAAAAGUGAACUAUGAUGGGAGGUGCUUCGCUUACAAGGUAAAUCCUAAUCUUUUCACCUGGAACCCUGGCAGACAAUUGAACUUCUCUGUCUUCCCCAAGAGUUCAUAGAUUGUUACAGGUGCCUGCCCAAAAAGCUUCGA